rnacentral:misc_RNA from 1 species
AACGCACGAGACCUGCGGACCUGCGGAGGGAUCAUUACCGAGUGUCACCCCCCCGAUAAAAAGGGGGGUACCUCCCGUCCUUUGCUAGGUCCCCUUUGGGGGCUUUCGACUUCUGCUUCGGCGGGUCACCCCGCCGGAACACCCUCAAAAAUCUUUUAUUAAACUGUUCAGUCCGAGGGCCUUUUUUAAAAUAUUUAUGAAAAACUUUUAACAAUGGAUCUCUAGAUCGGAAGAGCACAC